CCAUUGACUUUUAAGACAUUCAAUUGGAUUAGCGCACCAGUUAAAAAAAAUUAUAACGCAUAUCAUUUCCCACCAAAGAAAUGAGCUAGCCCCACAAAAGAACCUUGACAUGGGACACUACACCAACACAGUCUAUUUGAGCACCGUCAAAGACAAUACAUUUAAUUUACGAGAAAGCCAUGUCGACCAAAUAGCAGCAGACCAUACCAAAGAUCCUAAUUUGUUUAGCUUCUUUCCUUUUAGUAAGAAUCCGAAAUUGGAGAAAAUUAAGAACUGGAUCAGCAUGAGCUAGCCAACUGUAUAGAGCAGACCAAAUAUUAUAUGAGACAUAACAUGAAAAGAACAGAUGGCUACAUGUUUCAGCUUCACCAAAACAUUGUACACAUCGAAUGCCAAAUGCAUACCUUCACUUUCGGAAUUAUUGUUGAUUCUCAGAUACGCUUGAACGCCUUAGAUUUUACAUUUGUAAACACUCGGGGGAGAGUGAUUACUUCAACUACCCAUAUCCCUUAUGGACUCUGUAUUUUAUUAAUAAUUAAAUAAAUCAUUGAAAUUUUAUUCGGAUAGUUUAAAUGAAUCGAUUUCAUAUAUUAAAUAAGUGGUUAUAAUAUAAAUAUGCAGAUGUAACACAAAAAAA
rnacentral:lncRNA from 1 species